rnacentral:rRNA from 1 species
UACAGAGGUCCCGAGCGUUGUUCGGAUUCACUGGGCGUAAAGGGCGCGCAGGUGGGUUGGCAAGUUUGAUGUGAAAGCCCCGGGCUUAACCCGGGAAAGGCAUUGAAUACUGCUGAUCUGGAGGAUCGGAGGGGGGACUGGAAUUCUUGGUGUAGCAGUGAAAUGCGUAGAUAUCAAGAGGAACACCAGUGGCGAAGGCGAGUCCCUGGACGAUACCUGACACUGAGGCACGAAAGCCAAGGGAGCAAACAGG